UACAGAGGUGCCGAGCGUUAGGCGGAAUCACUGGGCUUAAAGCGUGUGUAGGCGGAUGCCUAAGUACCUUGUGAAAUCCCACAGCUCAACUGUGGAACUGCUUGGUAUACUGGGUGUCUUGAGCCACUUAGGGGUUACCGGAACAAAUGGUGGAGCGGUGAAAUGCGUAGAUAUCAAUUUGGAACGCCAAUGGUGAAAAACAGGGUAACUGGGGAGUGUGCUG
rnacentral:rRNA from 1 species